ACUCUGACUUCGACACACACGCCAAUUGAAACGCAUGCGCGCACACGCCAAUUGAAACGCGCUCCUUCCUGCUUUCCUUCUGGCCGCCGCGAGACCGUCAUUGACAGCUCGCCUCUCUCUCAAUCUUUCUCAACAUCACGGGCACGCGAGCCGGAUCGAGAGUGCGCGCCGCUGUUUCGUGUCGCGCGCGUCCUGGCGGGAGGGAGGGAAGGAAGGAAGGAUUGCGAGAGGUUACUGUGAAGUUUUCCGGACUGUAUGGCCGUGUUACAGAAGCAUUCUUUUCUGCUGUUUAUGCCCGCAUCUGUGACAGUUUUAGUUUGGCGAGGCGGGCAGCAAUUUGGCAGAGAAGGCUGUAAACCUGCAACUCCCAGGCCAGUGAAGCCUUCAGGUUUGCUCAGGUUUGGACGGGCCUCUACAUGAGAGUAAAUGAAAUUAGAAGGCUGCUAUCAUCUUCUUCUAAUUGCUCCUGAGAAAUUUCUCCUCAAGAGCUGUUAAGCUUGAACAGCAGGCAUACAGCAGAACUGACUAAAAUGAUGUUUUAUCACCUAUGGGGUUUUAGUGCUUACUUUUUCCACAUUUCAGAUUCAGAGCACUUUGAAUGAUCGAGCAUUUGUAAUUAAGUGUGCCCCCACUCUGUGUAUAUCUGUGUGUGUGUGUGUGUGUUUGUGUGUGGUGAGAUGUCAAGUGUUCUUCAAACCUACUUUCAAAUUACUCAAAUUAAUGAACUCUGUACUGAACACAAAAAUUAAAAUAACAAAGGAAGAGAACUGAUCUCACAGGCAUUUUGAGCUUCUGUUAUUUCUCUCUGGUACUUCACACUGUGGAGCUGUUUAAAGGUUUGACAAGAAAUGUCGACUGCAAUCCUAGAGAUACAUAUUUGGGAAUAUGUCCCCAUUACAUUCAAAAGAGACUUGCUUAUAAAGAAAUAUAUAUAUAGAAGAAACGGUCUUAUGUUAGAACACCUUCAGUCACAACAGUUGCUUGAAUUUUAAAUCUGAUCAUCACUUUGUGUAGAUGAGACAAACAAAAUAAUUAUAUACUGAAUUUGGAAAACUAUGGUUGAUAAUUAGGAAAAUGCCCACAAUGCUAAAUCAAUUUCCUUUUUCAUUUUAAAUUUGCAUAUUUAACAGAACUGCAUUUACUGUACAGAUGUUUUUUGUUUUAAACAGGGUCAUCUCCAGAUAACAUGUUUUAUGUGUUUUCAUGACAUUAUUAGAAUAUGUGAGAUUCCCAUUUAAUGGGGAGAUGUAGAGUUGUUCAAAACUGAUAAACCUAUACAGUAGUCAACUAUUUCCUAUAUUACUACUCAUUUCACUGAAAAGAAAAUAAUGAAUUAAUGCUGGUGGAAAUAUUAUUUUGUCCCUCUUUUUGCAUUGUCUCUUCUUGCAACAUUUUCUACAGCUAGAAAAAAUAAUAAUUCAUGUCUUAAACAGAAAGAUGCAGGCAUAACCUUAUCUACCCUCAAGACCAAGCAUAUAAUAUUGAUUUUAAGUAAUUUCAAAGGAAUGUACAGUUUGUCAAGGCAUUCUUUGAAAGACUACCAACUCCUGUACUAGAAGAAAGAUGUGAUGCCCCUUCACAACUAUGUAGAUAUUUGAACAAUAUGGCUUUUUCUUAACUCCUUGAAUCACAGUGCUAAUCUGCUUCCUCUGCCAUCCCGUUAUUAAAAUGCAACAUACAGCAUAUUUAAUAAAUUGCAGUUGCGGACAAAAACAAUACUGCUAGGAAGCUUGUUCUUGUUUUCUAAUUUAUUUUUGAAUUUAAAAAAAGGAAAACCACACUCCUAAUUCCCAAAUUCCCACUUCUUUGGCAGCAGAACAAGAUCCACCUUCCUUCAAGAUCUUUGACCUACAUUUCACAUACAAUUUUCCACUGCUUCCUGGCAUGGAAUAAAAAUAAAAAGGCAAAAACUUCCAUGACUCCAGAUGGAUCUUAUACCAGGACAAAUGAUGGCUUAAAGCAGCCAUCAUUCUAUGGCUUUAUUAAUAGGGGAGAUGGCACAACAAAAGAUGUAAAAUGUAAAACGCUACAUCUUCCACAUACCUGAGAACAGGUCAUUAACCACUAGUUUAACUGAAGCCUUUCACACUAUUCAGUUAUAAAGUUAACACUACGAUACCAAUGCAGCUGCUAUGGUUAUAUUCUUUAGAAUCCUGGGAUUUAUAGUUGAGUGAGGCACAAGAUCUCUCUAAUGGAUCAAUCUAAAUGCCCCUCAUAAACUGCAGAUCCCAGGAUUACACAGCAUGUUGCCAUGGCAGUUAAGGUAGAAUGGUAGUGAUAUAUAAUGUUAAAGAGCCCCUGAUCUAAUUUAACAUUACACCUGCUAGUUAUGCUACCACGGAGGCAAGACUAACUGGAAACAUUUGGCUGCCUGUGGCAAAGGAGAGAAUGGUGCCAAGUCAAGAUGUAGAUUACUGAAAGCAAGCCAUAUUACUUAGUACAUGAAGUAGAAAAUCACUUUCCUAUUCCCUGGCAGUAAUAAAUACAAUCAUAUCAAAAUAACUAGUUGUGGCAAUUCUACUCAGAGAGGAUCAAGGAGUCCUGAUAAAGACUUCCUCCUGCCUUCCUUUUCUAUUCUCCAAACCUUAUCAAGACUUCCUUCCUCUUGAAGUCUGUUCUUGCUCAACUUCCAUUCUUUUUGUAUCUUAUUUUUGCAAUGUUUUAGUGCCGCAAGGGUCCCGUGAUGCCCUAAUUGAUCAAAAGAUAUUAUUCUCUAGCCUAGCACUACUGAUACAGAGAGAUUUUAGCAAUGAUAAUAUUGUUCCUAGCAGGCAAAAUUUUAAGACAGGGUUGGUAUUUACGCCCCCAAUCACUUGCUUUAGAUUAGAACAAUCUGGCAGAGUUAACUCUAAACAUAAAUACACAUGAAUUAAAUUCAAGUCAGAAGGUGGCUUGUCUAAUAUAUUGCAUAGGUUAUUAGCUCUGAAGUUCGCGAAUAAUUAAUGAAGAUGAAUUACAUGCCAGCUACUUAUGCUGUGUCAUCCUGUCUUGUUAAAAUCCUAAGCAAUGUGUUGAAUUAUAAAAUGAAACCUCGAUUUUAUGGAUAAGAAGAUGCAUGCUUAGGAAUGGUUAGUUAGCAAAUAUUAAAUGUCAUAAUUUGUAUUUAGAUGAUCUCCUUGUCGAUGUUGUUACAAUAACCCAAAGAUAAACCUUAUGUCUAAAUAAACAGCUGUAACUCCUAUUUGGAUUCACCUUUUCCUGGACUAGAUUGAAUAAUAAAUGUUCAGCCAACGAAAGAGAUAAAAUAGAGCAGUCAUAUGUAUAGGUCCUGAGUUUAUGCUUCUCUGUAUCCUGCUCAAACAACUGGUUGGCAUCCCAAAGGAUGUGAAGUACUUGAUUAAAGGAAGAGAAUGUUCAGGCCUGAAUCUGCCUGAAAACCAUGCCCAUAUAAAAUGGGAGCUCUGUUCCCUAAUCCCAGGACAUGGUCUGAUUCCAAUAACUCAAGUACAAAAGAAGUGCACUCUUCAUAUGCUCUCCAUAUGAUAUUGGACUAUAAUGCCCAUCAUCCCAAACCACUGACCAAAUCAGCUGGGGCCGAGGAGAGUUUUAGUCAACAUCUGCUGGUCCACUACUUCUGCUUUAUUGGGAGCCUAUAGAGAAAUUCAAUCUUUUACAAAACAAAGAGGGAGGAGGCAAGGAAGAUGGUUGCUGAAUUACUAACAGUCCAGGGUACAGACUGGACUGUGGUUUGGAAUCAGCAUUAAAGAGGAAGUUAAAAUGUUUUCUCAAUUGAUAACUGUUACCUUAUACAACAUUCAGACCAAUGAAAAGAGGUACUGUUAUCCUUUCACAUUUUGAAUUAUAAGGUGAUUUAGUUAACUAUAUUCACUGUAUUUAACUUUACUAGAAUGUACAAAUAUACACAGUAAUACUUACCCAAUAGUGGGGCUAAUAUUGUGGUCAAAAUGAUCCUGAACAAAUCGACAAACUAUACUUGAUUUUCCAACUCCAGUAUCC